GUUUCUCUCUUGUUGCCCAGGCUGGAGUGCAGUGGGGUGAUCUCGGCUCACUGCAACCUCCACCUCCUGGGUUCAAGCGAUUCUCCUGCCUCAGCAUCCCGAGUAGCUGGGACUAAAGAAAGGUGCAUGCCACCACGCCCGGCUAAUUUUUUGUAUUUUUAGUAGAGAUGGGUUUUCAUCAUGUUAGCCAGUUCCUGACCUUGUGAUCCGCCCGCCUUGGCCUCCCAAAGUGCUGGGAUUACAGGUGUGAACCACCACACCCGGCCUAUACCUCCAUAUUUUUAAAUAACAUGACUGUGUCAUUGUUUCUUAUUUUCAGUCUUGAUAUUGUCUGUGGAAUUCUAUAUUAGGAUGAAUUCUGCAGUAAGUAAUACAGUCCUAAUAGUGGCCAAAGCAAUUAAGACAUUUAAUUAUGUCACCAGAUCAACAGUCUGGAUAUUUGAGGAUUCAGAGCAGGUCCAGUGGUGUGGCAACGUCAGGAUACUGUCAUCAUGAACUGUGUGUUUCUCUUCAUGUCCCCUCCUCCCCUUUUGGUGGCAAGGGUGAUUACCACAGCACCAAGCCUCCCAUUGUCACACAUUCACAUGAUAGGGUGGAAAGCUGGAAGGAAGGAGACCAAAAAGGGAAAAGCUCCUUUCUAGCAGAGAAGAACACCUAUGCAAUGGAAUAAUGAAAGUUAGCUGUGAAAACGUCUUUAUCUGUGUUGUUACUAACUCAUAUCAGUUUCCUGUAAUCAGUUUCCUUUGUAACAGUGGCAGCUGUAACAAAGUACCACAAACUGUGGCUUAAAACAACAAAAAUUUAUUCUCACAGUUCUGGAGGCCAGAAGUACAAACUUAGUAUCACUGGGCUGAAAUCAAGGUGUGGACAAGAGCUUGCUUCCUCCAGAAACUAUAGGGAAACAUCCCUUCCUGGCCUCUUCCAGCUUUGUGUGGCCGCUGGCAUUCCUUGGCUUGUGGCCGAAUCUCACUCCAAUCUUCAAGGCCAGCACCAUCCACUCAGUCUGCUCUGUCUUCCCAUGGCCUUUUCCUCCAUGUAUUUGUGUCAAAUCUCCUUCUGCCUCCCUCUUACAAGGAUGCAUGUGAUUGCAUUUAACACCACCAGAGUAAUCCAGGAUAAUCUCUUCUUAGCAAGGGCCAUUGAUUUAAUCACAUCUUCAGAGACUUUGCCACAUAAAGUAACAUUCAGAAGUUCCAGGGAUUAGGACCUAAUAUCUUUGGAGGCCAUUAAUAAACCUGCUACAGUGACCUAGUAAACCACAGGUAAAUUGAUACAAUUAACUUAGGAAAAGGUCUCAUAAGUAAAUUUGACGGUACUCUAGUUUCCAUGACAGAAUUUCUCUCUAGCCUUUCUCUCCAUUCGUUGUAAAGAGAUAAGGACUUUACUUGUCAGAUUGCUUUAUUACAGAGAUUGUUUUUACCCAAAACUAAGUUUACCUAAGUUUACAAAAUUUGAUUUAGAUCAGUGGUUCUCAGUGGGGAUGGUAUGGCCCUAUGGAAGUUUGUGAGGGCUAUUUCUUCUGGCUGUGACAAUGCUAGGUGAAAAAUCACUACUUAUGUAUAUUUCAGAUGGUGUCUUGCUCUGUCACUCAGGCUGGAGUAUGGUGGUGUGAUCAUAGCUCACUGUAGCCUCCAUCUCAUGGGAUCAGGCAGUCCUGCCUCAGCUUUCUGAGUAACUGCAACUACAGGCAUGCACCACCAUGUCCAGCUAACUUAUUUUUUAUUUUCUUUAUUUAUUUUUGAGACGGAGUCUCACUCUGUUGCCCAGCCUGGAGUGCAGUGGCAUGAUCUCAGCUCACUGCAAUCUCUGCUUCCUGGGUUCAAGUGAUUCUCCUGACACAGCCUCCUGAGUAGCUGGGAUUACAGAUAUGUGCCAUGACGCCCAGCUAAUUUUUUUUUUUUUUUUUUUUUUUGUAUUUUUAGUAGAGAUUGGUUUUGCCAUGUUGGCCAGGCUGGUCUCAAACUCCUGACCUCAAGUGAUCUGCCUGCCUUGGCCUCCCAAAGUGCUGGGAUUAUAGGCGUGAGCCACCACAGCCGACCUAUUUUUUUUCUUUUUUUCUUUCUUUCUUUUUCUUUUUUUUUUUUUUUUUUUUUUGAGACAUGAUCUCUUAGUUUGUUGCCCAGCCUGGAGCCCAGCGUCAUGAUUAUCGUAGCUCUGUGCAACCUGAAACUCCUGGGCACAAGCAAGCUUUUUGCCUCAGCCUCCCAGCUGGGACCACUGGUGCACAUCACCAUGCCUGGCUAAUUGCUCUUUUUCUUUUUUUUUUUUUGUUUCAGACAGUUUCACUCUGUCACCCAGGCUGGAGCACAGUGGUAUGAUCUCGGCUCACUGCAACCUCCACCUCCCGGGUUCAAGCAAUUCUUGUGCCUCAGCCUCUCAGGUAGCUAGGAUUAUAGACACGCGCCAGCACUCCCGGCUAAUUUUUUGUAUUUUUAGUAGAGAUGGGGUUUCACCAUGUUGAUCAGGCUGGUCUUGAACUCCUGACCUCAAGUGAUACACCCACCUCGGCCUCCCAAAAUGCUGGGAUUACAGGUGUGAGCCACUGCGCUGGGACUAAUUUUUAUAUUUUUUGAGACAUGGGGUCUCCCUGGGUUGCCCAGGUUUGUCUCAAACUCCUGGGCUCAAGUGAUCCUCCUGCCUUGGCCUCCCAAAGUGCUGGGAUUAUAGGCAUUGAGUCACUGCGUCUGGCCAAACUUCUUACUAUGUGUCUUACAUUGUGUUCAACACUUGUUAUUGCUCAAAAUGGCCUUAUCCUUCAUACAUACCUGCCAAGAGAAAUUUUUAUUAGAGACAAGGCCUCCCUGUGUUGCUCAGGCUGGAGUGCAGUGGUGCGAUCACAGCUCACUGCAGCCUUAGCCUCCUGGGCUCAAGUGAUCCUCCCAUCUCAGCCUCCAGAGUAGCUGGGACUACAGGCACACACCACCACACCUGGUUAAUUUUUAAAAUUCUUUUCAUGUAGAUGGGGG
rnacentral:lncRNA from 10 species